ACUUCGCUGGUUUUCAUACGACUCUCCUGGUUUUAUAGUAACGCUUCUUUAAGAUAAUGGAUCUCCUUAAGUUUGAAGAGUUAGCUGGCAGCUUCCUGGAGGUGUCCAAGAAGAUAGAGGGAGCAAGUUAAUGAAGGCUGCUCUCUGAUCAACACCAGCCCGUUCCCCUUUCCCAGCGCAUUUGGAAUAGGUCUAUAAAGCAUUUGAUUGUUGCAUUGCAAGAAAACCCGGAAUUGUGAAUAUCCCUUCAAAGAAUGAACGUCUGCCUCUUUAGUACCAAAUGUAUACUCAACUGCUCUGUCUUCAUGCCUUCCUGCAGACAGUAACCUUUGGGUUUUAAUGCUGAGUUAUCUUUAAACUGUAAUCUUUUAAAAGACAUUCAAAAAGGCAGUUAAACUCAACACAUAUAGUAUCAACCCGGCAUUUAGCUCAACUGGAGUGAUGAGAAUAUGAAAGCUAAGACGGAACCCUAGAUGUUCAGGCGAGGCCUGGCUGACGUGAUCGUGGUUUACAGUCACAGAUUGUAAAAU